rnacentral:rRNA from 1 species
UGGGGAAUAUUGCGCAAUGGGCGAAAGCCUGACGCAGCAACGCCGCGUGAGUGAUGAAGGCCUUCGGGUCGUAAACCCCUUUCAGCAGGGACGAAAAUGACGGUACCUGCAGAAGAAGCCCCGGCCAACUACGUGCCAGCAGCCGCGGUAAGACGUAGGGGGCGAGCGUUGUCCGGAUUUAUUGGGCGUAAAGAGCUCGUAGGCGGUUGCGUAAGUCGGAUGUGAAAACUCAGGGCUCAACCCUGAGACGCCAUCCGAUACUGCGCUGACUUGAAUCCAGUAGGGGAGUGUGGAAUUCCUGGUGUAGCGGUGAAAUGCGCAGAUAUCAGGAGGAACACCCAUGGCGAAGGCAGCACUCUGGGCUGGUAUUGACGCUGAGGAGCGAAAGCAUGGGUAGCGAACAGGAUUAGAUACCCAAGUAGUCCCUGAGCGGGCUGGCAAGGCGCAU